GGGGCUGUGGGUUAGUGGUAUAGUAUCCCCUUGGCAUGGGAAAAGUCCGGGUCAAUUCCCCGCAGCUCAA